rnacentral:rRNA from 1 species
AUACGUAGGGGGCAAGCGUUAUCCGGAUUUACUGGGUGUAAAGGGAGCGUAGACGGCAAAGCAAGUCUGAAGUGAAAGCCCCGGGCUCAACCCGGGAAUUGCUUUGGAAACUGUUUAGCUGGAGUGCAGGAGAGGUAAGCGGAAUUCCUAGUGUAGCGGUGAAAUGCGUAGAUAUUAGGAGGAACACCGGCGGCGAAGGCGGCUUACUGGACUGUAACUGACGUGGAGGCUCGAAAGCGUGGGGAGCAAACAGGAUUAGAUACCCUGGUAGUCCACGCCGUAAACGAUGAUUACUAGGUGUUGGUUGUCAUAGACAAUCGGUGCCGCAGCAAACGCAAUAAGUAAUCCACCUGGGGAGUACGUUCGCAAGAAUGGAACUCAAAUGAAUUGACGGGG